rnacentral:rRNA from 1 species
GACGAACGCUGGCGGCGUGCCUAAUACAUGCAAGUCGAACGCAGUGGGGACGGGUGAGUAACACGUGGGUAACCUCCCAUCAGAGGGGAUAACACUUGGAAACAGGUGCUAAACCGAUAUUGAUGGAUGGACCCGCGGUGCAUUAGCUAGUUGGUGGGGUAAAGGCUCACCUAGGCGACGAUCGCUAGCUGGUCUGAGAGGAUGAUCAGCCACACUGGUACUGCGACACGGCCCAGACUCCUACGGGAGGCAGCAGUGGGGAAUAUUGCACAAUGGGCGCAAGCCUGAUGCAGCCAUGCCGCGUGUGUGAAGAAGGCCUUAGGGUUGUAAAGUACUUUCGGCGGGGAGGCGUUACCCGCAGAAGAAGCACCGGCUAACUCCGUGCCAGCAGCCGCGGUAAUAC